rnacentral:misc_RNA from 1 species
GCCAUAUUGUAUGGUUUGGUGGAUUGGGUGUCUGUUUGUCUAUGCCACUGUUGUUGUGGUCAUUUUGCAAUCUUGAAAUGCUUAAGCAAUCUUGGUGUUGUCUUCUUCUUAUGUGCAAACUUGCAAUAAUUUUAUGAAUAACACAAUGCCUUUUAUGCAAGCCUGAAUUUGAGAUCAACAGGUGGGAAGUAGAGGAGGGGGAUCAACAGGUCUGUCCAACAACCUGAACUCAAAUACUGACUGCAUUUUUCAUUCACGCUAACCAGAUAUAUGCAAGCUACAAUAACAUAAUACCAUAAUAACUAAACCACUAAUACCUAAACCAAAGCUAGGGGAAUUUGAAACCAAUAAAAACCAACAACAACUAUACCUUAAUUUCAAACUAGUUGGGGUCGGCUAAAAGGAUCAUUUUAUAUCAUUCAGUUCUUUGAGAUCAAUUCCACAUCUUAUUCAAAAAUUAUAAAUCCAUUGAUGCUACUUCCCUUCAUAUCAUUUUAAGUCUCCUCUUUUCUUUCAAACCAAAGAAAAAGAAAAACCAAUAUGAAAAAAAUUUGUUCAAGUUGAACUUUGUCGAUUUGGUUGUGGCUUCAUUUUACAAACAAG